GCCCGGUUAGCAUAGCGGUAGUGCGUCAGACUUCUAAAGCCUUUCGCGAACAAGAUCUGAAGGUCGCGGGUUCGAUCCCCGCAUUGGGUU
rfam:Cryptococcus bestiolae CBS 10118 unplaced genomic scaffold supercont1.7, whole genome shotgun sequence.